UACGUAGGGUGCAAGCGUUGUCCGGAAUUAUUGGGCGUAAAGGGCUCGUAGGCGGUUUGUCGCGUCGGGAGUGAAAUCCACUGGCUUAACUGGUGGCUUGCUUUCGAUACGGGCAGACUGGAGGUAUGCAGGGGAGAACGGAAUUCCUGGUGUAGCGGUGAAAUGCGCAGAUAUCAGGAGGAACACCGGUGGCGAAGGCGGUUCUCUGGGCAUGUCCUGACGCUGAGGAGCGAAAGUGUGGGGAGCAAACAGG
rnacentral:rRNA from 1 species